ensembl:snRNA U6 U6 spliceosomal RNA
GUGCUCACUUUUGUAGCACGUACACUAAGACUGAAACGAUACAGAGAAGAUUAGCAUGGCCCCUGACCGUAUGCAGUGCACUCCACGAAUAUGCAAAUUCGUGAAGUGUUCCAUAUUUUU